CCUACGGGCGGCAGCAGUGGGGAAUAUUGGACAAUGGGGGCAACCCUGAUCCAGCCAUGCCGCGUGUGUGAAGAAGGCCCUCGGGUUGUAAAGCACUUUCAGUGAGGAAGAACGCCUGGUGGUUAAUACCCAUCAGGAAAGACAUCACUCACAGAAGAAGCACCGGCUAACUCCGUGCCAGCAGCCGCGGUAAUACGGAGGGUGCGAGCGUUAAUCGGAAUUACUGGGCGUAAAGCGCGCGUAGGUGGCUUGAUAAGCCGGUUGUGAAAGCCUCGGGCUCAACCUGGGAACGGCAUCCGGAACUGUCAAGCUAGAGUGCAGGAGAGGAAGGUAGAAUUCCCGGUGUAGCGGUGAAAUGCGUAGAGAUCGGGAGGAAUACCAGUGGCGAAGGCGGCCUUCUGGACUGACACUGACACUGAGGUGCGAAAGCGUGGGUAGCAAACAGGAUUAGAUACCCGAGUAGUC
rnacentral:rRNA from 1 species